UACGGAGGGAGCUAGCGUUGUUCGGAAUUACUGGGCGUAAAGGGCGCGUAGGCGGCCUUCUAAGUCGAACGUGAAAUCCCCGGGCUCAACCCGGGAACUGCGUCCGAUACUGGGAGGCUUGAAUCCGGGAGAGGGAUGUGGAAUUCCAGGUGUAGCGGUGAAAUGCGUAGAUAUCUGGAGGAACACCGGUGGCGAAGGCGGCAUCCUGGACCGGUAUUGACGCUGAGGCGCGAAAGCUAGGGGAGCAAACGGG
rnacentral:rRNA from 1 species